AUGAUUGUUCGACUACUCUAUAUAACAAAAAAUGCAUCUCAUAGUUUCUCCCUUGUUCUCAAACAAGAACAAUUCCAAUAAUACACAAAUAGUGAAAUAAGAAGAUGAUAUAAAUUAUUCCAGUAAUUACUGCAUGGCUUAUGAACAAUUGACGUUUUCUUUUUUACUUCUUUUGUGAAGCAUGACUAUGGUCGAUACAAAAAAUGAAAUGAAGAAUGUUCCAAACUGUGAAUUGAGUCAUUUUAAGAGGAUUGAAAGGUAAUAUAUGGGUCAAGCCAUGCUAAUUAGUGCAAGUGGAGGAGGAUGAGAAACUUGUUUACGGCCUGCAAAGUUUCUUUGUGACACCCGAUUUGUCAUUUCUGUCAAAGAAUUAGUCCCUGGAUUUGAUCGAGGAGAACGAACUGGACGCCAUUGUAGAGAUGGUAACAGAAGAUAUUGUUCAUGUUUAAGAGUUCUUGUUGCUUCACUUGGUUCAAAGCUUAGGAACAAAAAGAGAAACAAGAUAAUAUCACAAGAAGUAGCAAAACUGUUAUUUUGU
rnacentral:lncRNA from 1 species